UGCAGAACGCAUUUAGAUCAAACUCACUGUGCCUUAUAAGCAGACAGAAAAUCUACAAACUGUCAAAUGUUUAGUUUGUUCUUAGCAUUCUUAGAUGUUGUACAUUUUGCAAAAUCAUUCUGAGAAAGGAUAUUAGCCUAUUAAAAAUAAGAAAACAGAAAAACAAGGCUUUAGCAUCAUACCAAGAGAUGUGUGGCUUCUAGUUAACUGUGGAAGAUGCAAUCAAUAGAAAAGGCAGGAAAGGAAAGAAAGAGCAUCCGCAGCAGAGAUUUCCUGGAAUGAAAAAUGUGCCUGGAUUGUUACUUUAUUGAAUUUUGCUACUGUAGGACAUACUAAAGGACAAAUCAACUCUCAAGCAUCUAUCCGAAAUAUAUGAGAUAUUUCUUGAGCUGUUUUAUCUACUCAUUUAAGGAUUACAUGGGAAAAAAGAAAAACAAA